AUACGGAGGGGGCUAGCGUUGUUCGGAAUUACUGGGCGUAAAGCGCGCGUAGGCGGAUUGAUCAGUCAGGGGUGAAAUCCCGGAGCUUAACUCCGGAACUGCCUUUGAUACUGUCAAUCUUGAGUUCGAGAGAGGUGAGUGGAAUUCCUAGUGUAGAGGUGAAAUUCGUAGAUAUUAGGAGGAACACCAGUGGCGAAGGCGGCUCACUGGUCCGAUACUGACGCUGAGGUGCGAAAGCGUGGGGAGCAAACAGGAUUAGAAACCCUAGUAGUCC
rnacentral:rRNA from 1 species